GGAGAGGCGGAGUUAUCUCUUCGGGAGUCCACCGAGGCAAAAGAGGCCCUUCUUAACAGAGCUCUCUCUGAAACCGAGGUUCUACUGCUCCUGCUGUUCCAAAGUUUCUUGGGUGUGUUGAAGGAACGGCUCCCAGAUUCAACAAAAGUGAGAUCAGUGCAGGAUCUAAAAUCUAUAGGUGCGGAAGAUGACAAGUCAUCGGCGAUGGAGGUGGACAGUGAGAAUGGAAACCCAAAGAAGAGUUGUGAAGUCGGUGAGAGAGAACAGUGGUCCAUAUCAACACUUGGCUAUCUCACAGCGUUUACAAGGCAAUAUGCGAGCGAGAUAUGGCCUCACAUGGAGAAGGUGAAGAUGUGCAUCCUCUCUUUCUUCAAGCCAUAUCUUCUGCACUUCAGUUCCCUUUACAAUG